rnacentral:rRNA from 1 species
AGUGAACGCUGGCGGUAGGCCUAACACAUGCAAGUCGAACGGCAGCACAGUAAGAGCUUGCUCUACGGGUGGCGGGUGGCGGACGGGGGAGGAAUACAUCGGAAUCUACUUUUUCGGGGGGGAUAAAGUAGGGAAGCCUACGCUAAUUCCGCAUACGACCUACGGGUGAAAGCCAGGGAUUUUUGGAACUUGCGCGGUUGAAUGAGCCGAUGUUGGAUUAGCUAGUUGGCGGGGUAAAGGCCCACCAAGGCGACGAUCCGUAGCUGGUCUGAGAGGAUGAUCAGCCACACUGGAACUGAGACACGGUCCAGACCCCUACGGGAGGCAGCAGUGGGGAAUAUUGGACAAAGGGCGCAAGCCUGAUCCAGCCAUACCGCGUGGGUGAAGAAGGCCUUCGGGUUGUAAAGCCCUUUUGUUGGGAAAGAAAAGCAGCAGGUUAAUACCCCGCUGUUCUGACGGUACCCAAAGAAUAAGCACCGGCUAACUUCGUG